rnacentral:tRNA from 1 species
GCCUGGGUGGCUCAGUGGUUGAGCGUCAGCUCAUGUUGUGAUCCUGGAGUCCUGGGAUCGAGUCCCACAUCAGGCU